rnacentral:rRNA from 1 species
CCUACGGGAGGCAGCGGUAGGGAAUCUUCCACAAUGGGCGAAAGCCUGAUGGAGCAACGCCGCGUGGGUGAAGAAGGUCUUCGGAUCGUAAAACCCUGUUGUUAGAGAAGAAAGUGCGUGAGAGUAACUGUUCACGUUUCGACGGUAUCUAACCAGAAAGCCACGGCUAACUCCGUCCCAGCAGCCGCGGUAAUACGUAGGGGGCAAGCGUUAUCCGGUUUUUUUGGGCGUAAAGGGAACGCAGGGGGUCUUUUAAGUCUGAUGUGAAAGCCUUCGGCUUAACCGGAAUAGUGCAUUAGAAACUGGGAGACUUGAGUGCAGGAGAGGAGAGUGGAACUCCAUGUGUAGCGGUGAAAUGCGUAGAUAUAUGGAAGAACACCAGUGGCGAAGGCGGCUCUCUGGUCUGUAACUGACGCUGAGGUUCGAAAGCGUGGGUAGCAAACAGGAUUAGAUACCCGUGUAGUC